rnacentral:lncRNA from 1 species
CACAAUAAACAACUAUCAUUUAUUGUUAACUAUAUUACUGAUAUCUAUAUUCAAAUAUAUUUUGAGAGGCAGUGUAACAGAGUAGAAAGACUAUGAGCUUCAGUCAUACAGAUCUGUUUAUCAUUGUAUGAUUUUGCAUAAAUGACUUAACCUCUCUGAGCUUCAUUUUCCCUGUUUAUAAAAUAAGUACUAUAUUAUUAACCCAAUAAGGCUUUUGUGAAGAUUAAAUGAGAUCUUACAUGUAACAAAACUGCUCCAGAGACUGGAUGCUUAGUAGCUACUCGACAGAUGUUACCCUUAUAUCUCCCUAAUUUGUGACCAGCUUUCUUAUGCUCACAUGAAAAUCCUGAGCUUCUAUUUCCUCAAUAAAUGCUAAACAACAUUGGUAAUUAGCAUCUUAGGUCUUCAAUAGUCCUCAUAAAGGCUGUUUAUUUGUUGUGUUCCUGGAACUAAAUUAUAAGGUGAGCAGCCCAAAUUGUAAGAGUUCAGUAUACAUAUCCUUUCAAGUGGUACAAAGUUAUUGCUGAGGCAUCUUUAGGAAUAUUUUGUUACAAAAUAGGAUGCGAAAACUUGUGAUGAAUAUUAAAAGAGAUCAGGGACACUGGAAUACUGGAAAGACUACUGUUGAAAAAAUUAUCUUUAGAGUCAGUGGUUUUGUUUUAUUUUUUCUGUUUGGUCCUCACACAAACCCAGAAGCCAAGCAGGCUUUAUUUUCCUGUUUAAAGAUGAAGAAAUCAAGGCACAAGUUAAAAAGCCACUUGCACAAGAUUCACUGGUCAUUGGGUAACAACUAAGAAUAAUCUUGGUCUUUUGACUUCCUGCUCAGUGCUCUAUUUCUUUUUAAUAACAUAAAUUUUGCAGUGUUAGCCUUUAAAAAAAAAAAGAUUUGAUUGAUUGGUUUGAUAGAGAAAGACAGCAUGUGCACAAGCAUGGGGAAUGGCAGACAGAAUGGAAAAGCAGGCUCUCCUCCAAGCAGGGAGCCAGAUACAGGGCUCAAUCCCAGGACUCUGGGAUCAUGACUUAAGCUGAAGUAGAUGCAUAACCGACUGAGCCACCCAGGUGCCUCAAUGUUAACCAUUUUUAAGUGUACAGUUAAGUACGUUCACAUUGUUGUACAACCAGUCUCCAGAACUCUUUUCCUCUUGCAAAACUGAAACUCUACUCCCAUUAAACAACUCCCUAUCCUUCUUCCCCCAGCCCCAGGCAACCAUCAUUCUACUUUCUGUUUCUAUGAGAGUGACUAUUCUAGGUACUCAUAUAAAUGGAAGCAUAUAGUAUGUCUUUUUGUGACUGGCUUAUUUAGCAUAAUGCCCUCAAGGUUCAUCCAUGUUGCAAUAUGUGUCAGAACUGCCUUCCUUUUUAAAACACAUUUUGUUUUUCCAUCCAUCUACCAACAGACUCUCGGGGUUGCUUCCACUCUUGACUAUUGUGAAUAAUGCUGUUAUAAACAUGGAUGUUUAAAAUCUCUUUGAAAUUCUCCUUUCAACUCUUUCGGGUAUGCACCCAGAAGUGGAACUGUUAGAUUAUAUGAUGAUAUGGUCAUUUUAAUUUUUUGAGGGACAUCAUACUGUUUUGAAGAACAGCUAUGUAUAGCAGCUGCACCAUUUUACAUUAUUGCACAAAGGUUCCAAUUUCUCUACAUCCUAACACUUGUCCUUUUCUGUUUUUUGUUUUGCUUUGUUUUUAUAAUAGCUAUCCUAAUGGGUGUGAGAUGGUCUCACUCUGUAAUUAUCUGCAGAGUUUUGUAGUCUUCUGAGAUGACAAGACACUAGUGACACUGGAUAACAUCACCAACAACUUACAGCAUUAAAAUCCUACCAGAUUUAAGACACUACUAUAGGAUGCAACAGUACACAAAGUCCCUGCUCUCAAGGAUUUUACAAUCUAGCUGGAAAGAAAGGAUAUAUGCACUUAAAAAUAAAUAAAAAUGCAAGAUAGAAUAGUCUAAAUAAUAUAGACUCAGUUGAAAGAGCAUGCAACUCUUGAUCUCAAGAUAGUGAGUUUGAGACCCACACUCGGUUAGAAAUUGCUUAAAAAAAUAAAAUUAGGGGAUCCCUGGGUGGCGCAGCGGUUUGGCGCCUGCCUUUGGCCCAGGGCGCAAUCCUGGAGACCCGGGAUCGAAUCCCACGUCGGGCUCCCGGUGCAUGGAGC